GCCGACGUGGUGGAAUUGGUAGACACGCUAUCUUGAGGGGGUAGUGACCUAGGUCGUGCGAGUUCGAGUCUCGCCGUCGGCACCA
rnacentral:tRNA from 15 species